GGCUCCACACAGGCCUCCCUGGCCUCUGCCUUGCAGGCCCAUAUCACAGCCGGCUUCUGCGCCGCCUGCAGCACCCCCUUUCACUAAGGGUCCACAGGGGAUGCCUCGGCAACAGGGCCCCUUGAUGUCCUGCAGAGCCCAUCUCCAGAAAAAUCUGCAGAAAAAAAAAGGAAAGGGUGUGAGCAAUUAAGGCAUAAUGGACAUGAUUCUCUUCAGACUUCUAAACCAGAACUCCAUCACUAUAAAGCAACAUGAUUCCUAGCACAGACUGUAAGGAGAAAGAGCCGGUCCAAGAGCCAGAGACUGAGUUUGAAGCAUGCAACUACCAGAAUCCACUUCCCUCAGAGCUGUGGCAAGUUCCAGGGACUGAAACUGAAGCCAGCAGCACCCAGAAAGUCUCAGAAAGCUGUUGCAGAGGCAACAGCAAAGUGAAAAUAUGGUAGCCUGUUCCACUCUAGCAUCCAACCUGUCUUGAUAUGUAUGUACAUAUAAUGCUUUCCCGCU